GUAGCAUUAAAGGGAGCCAGAAAACAGAGAGAAAAAGCUUUCUGCACUUCUGAGUCCCAGAGGAAGAACUGGAUAUGUCCUAUUCUCACAGAAUAUUACAGAAUUGCAACAGGCAGCUUUGAGGUGAGGAUGAAGGCUGUUCCGCAAAAGCUUGGCUGGAAGAAAAAUUGCUGAAGGGUUAGGUGAAUAUGCAGAGCAGAAACCAGGAUUUAUUGGCAGGACACAGCCUCUGCAUAUUUUAUCUUCCAACAGUCUACUGACACCGGGAAAGGCUUAGCUGAGCUAAAGUGGUGUUGGAAGCCUAUGAGAUGAAGAGCUAUCCACCAGGAGCAUCCCAGAGAGAGGAAGACUCAACUGAGGAAGGACUUCCAGCAGCAGAGGAACACUGUAACUGUUCACAGAGGAACACUUCAGCCACCCAGGGCAAGGUCUCAGCUUGUUGCCUUCCUGGUCAUCCUCACACACAGACAAUGCAGAAGAGCCACAUUUUCAAAGGUGACCAGAAAUUUCCAUCACUUGGCCAGUGACAUCCCAAAAGGAGAUUGCUUAACUUGGAGCAUGAGAGAAGCCUACAGGAGCCCAGGGCAUCACACAGGAGUUCCAUGCAAAGCCCAAGGUGUGGCUCCAUGGCUCUUUGGUCCCUGCCCCAUUGGCAGUGCAGGAGUGGGAUGAGCCGCUGAGCCACUGAACCAGACUGGCAGAAAACCACCACCCAUCACUUGCAGGUACGUUCCUUGGUGCUGGGAGGGCUGAAGGUGCACACCAUGGGCCCAGGCACACACUGGUGCUGGCCUGUGGAGCAAAUGGAAGCCAGGGGGUGGAGGGGGAAGCAGGACAGAGGCAGCCCUGGCUCAGACUGAUGGAAGUUUCACGCAGUGGAAAGCAAAAUGCGUGAGGCUGGAGCUGUAUCCCCACCUACAUAAUGGAUUGCCCUGGGCACUGCACUAAAUACAUUAAGCAAUGAUGAAUAUUCAUAUUUUAAGAUUAAAUCUACCUCCUAAUGGAACUUUUCACUGGCAACCUUUUCUUAUUGUGCCUUGGAACUCCAUGUAUCUGAACAACUGCUGUUGGGUGAAAACACCUUCCCAAGUCAAAAUAACAAUAUCAA
rnacentral:lncRNA from 1 species